GUCGAACGGAUUAUUCUUUAUAGCUUGUGAGUGACCACUUAUUAGGGAGACGGGUGAGUAUGCAUAGGAAUCUACCUAGUAGUAUAGGAUAGCCACUAGAAAUGGUGGGUAAUACUGUAUAAUCCCUGCGGGGGAAAGAUUUAUCGCUACAUGAUGAGCCUAUGUUAGAUUAGCUAGUUGGUGGGGUAAUGGCCUACCAAGGCAGUGAUCUAUAGCUGGUCUGAGAGGAUGAUCAGCCACACUGGAACUGAGACACGGUCCAGACUCCUACGGGAGGCAGCAGUGGGGAAUAUUGGACAAUGGGCGCAAGCCUGAUCCAGCUAUGCCGCGUGAGUGAGGAAGGCCUUAGGGUUGUAAAACUCUUUCAGUAGGGAAGAUAAUGACGGUACCUAUA
rnacentral:rRNA from 1 species